rnacentral:rRNA from 1 species
GACGAACGCUGGCGGCGUGCUUAACACAUGCAAGUCGAACGGAAAGGCCCUGCUUUUGUGGGGUGCUCGAGUGGCGAACGGGUGAGUAACACGUGAGUAACCUGCCCUUGACUUUGGGAUAACUUCAGGAAACUGGGGCUAAUACCGGAUAGGAGCUCCUGCUGCAUGGUGGGGGUUGGAAAGUUUCGGCGGUUGGGGAUGGACUCGCGGCUUAUCAGCUUGUUGGUGGGGUAGUGGCUUACCAAGGCUUUGACGGGUAGCCGGCCUGAGAGGGUGACCGGCCACAUUGGGACUGAGAUACGGCCCAGACUCCUACGGGAGACAGCAGUGGGGAAUAUUGCACAAUGGGCGGAAGCCUGAUGCAGCGACGCCGCGUGCGGGAUGACGGCCUUCGGGUUGUAAACCGCUUUCGCCUGUGACGAAGCGUGAGUGACGGUAAUGGGUAAAGAAGCACCGGCUAACUACGUG